rnacentral:rRNA from 1 species
AUUGAACGCUGGCGGCAGGCCUAACACAUGCAAGUCGAGCGGAUGAAGGGAGCUUGCUCCUGGAUUCAGCGGCGGACGGGUGAGUAAUGCCUAGGAAUCUGCCUGGUAGUGGGGGAUAACGUCCGGACACGGGCGCUAAUACCGCAUACGUCCUGAGGGAGAAAGUGGGGGAUCUUCGGACCUCACGCUAUCAGAUGAGCCUAGGUCGGAUUAGCUAGUUGGUGGGGUAAAGGCCUACCAAGGCGACGAUCCGUAACUGGUCUGAGAGGAUGAUCAGUCACACUGGAACUGAGACCCGGUCCAGACUCCUACGGGAGGCAGCAGUGGGGAAUAUUGGACAAUGGGCGAAAGCCUGAUCCAGCCAUGCCGCGUGUGUGAAGAAGGUCUUCGGAUUGUAAAGCACUUUAAGUUGGGAGGAAGGGCAGUAAGUUAAUACCUUGCUGUUUUGACGUUACCAACAGAAUAAGCACCGGCUAACUUCGUG